UACGGGGGGAGCAAGCGUUGUUCGGAUUCACUGGGCGUAAAGGGUGCGUAGGUGGUGAGGUAAGUCGGAUGUGAAAUCUCCGAGCUCAACUCGGAAACUGCAUUGGAAACUACCUUGCUCGAGGGUUGGAGGGGGGACUGGAAUGCUUGGUGUAGCAGUGAAAUGCGUAGAUAUCAAGCGGAACACCAGUGGCGAAGGCGAGUCCCUGGACAACUCCUGACACUGAUGCACGAAAGCUAGGGGAGCAAACAGG
rnacentral:rRNA from 1 species